rnacentral:lncRNA from 1 species
GCCUGGGGUAGAGAACACCUGGCUGGUGUCCCCUCACUGCUGACGUCACACCCUGAAGCUCACCCCCUUGCGGCUCUCUCAGGGGAGGCCAGCAGGGGGAGGUAGUGAUGGCCUCUGUGGGACGAUCAGAGAUGGAUCUGAUGGCAGAACCUGGGGAGUGGUGCUCCCUUCACGGGAUAGACAGUGAAGGCCUCUCCCAGGUGACGUUUGGGCAAAGGUCUGAAUGAUGUGCUGAACCAAGCAGCUCUGGGAUAAGAAGCUUCACAGGGACGAACAAAGAGUAUGUGCAAAGGUCCUGGGGCAGAAAUGAGCUUGUCCUGUUUGAGGAUCAGAAGACAACCAGUGUGGCUGGAGCAUGAUGAGCUAGGAGGAGAGCAGAGGUUCACAGAGGCCAGACUGAGUGACUCUGCCACUUGGGCCACAGUGAGGCACUGGACCCCAUUAAAGGCAGAAGCCUUGGGAGGCAGUGAUGGUAUCUGAGACUUAUGUGUUUUAAAGGACUCCUGUGAAGGCUGUUGGGAGGGAAAACAGGGAGAGGACACCAGCGGGCAUCAGUUGAGCCAUGACAGUGGCUCAGAAGGUGGUCUGGGCUGGGCCCGAGGACGACCAGACUUGGGGUGGAUUUUGGAGGCAGACCUGCUGGGCCUCACAAGUGGAUUGGAUGGGAGGGAGAUAGGAACCUGACUCCCAGGUUGGAACAGGGGGUUUCAAACCCCAGCUUCAUCAUUCCUCUCCAACUGUGUGACCUUGGGCAAGUCACUUAACCUCUCUGGGCCACCUCCUCUUGAGCUGUGAUAAGGUGACACAGGCUAACUGAGAAGAUUGCUGUGAGUGGAAGUGAGUUCAUAUGCCUGGAACAAGGGCACAGUUCCCUGUGAAUGGUCAUGUUGUGGUUCGGGUGCCUGAGGAGGGACCAUGUCCCGCUGGUUGGGUCAGCCAGUCUUCCUGUCCUUUAUUGUUCUCCAUUUUUAAUCCUCUUGUUUGGAAUGAAUUGAGAUCCCUAUGAUGGAGCAGACCAUUUCCACCCAGAAACAGGACUUUGAAAUGGGGAACCUCUUGCAGAGCCCAGGGCCCCCGAGGAUUUGUGCAGAUCCCCUCUCUAUGAGCAGCUUGGGGUUUCCGCACUGGGAAGAGGGCUGGGGGCAGGUCAGUCCUGGUGAGAGUCGUUUCUUUGGCUGAAGGAGGAAGUAGGGUUCUGUGUGGAAGCCUGGGAUCCUGGUGCCAGGCAGGGCACAGUGUGGAGAUCAUGCCUGCCAGGCAGAUCUCAAAUGCUGGUGAUGUUUUUGUUUGUUUCGGCUUUUUAGGUCUGCACCCGAGGCAUAUGGAAAUUCCCGGGCUAGGGGUCCAAUCAGAGCUACAGCUUCUGGCCUGCGCCACAGCCACAGCAAUGUAGCAUCUGAGCCGUAUCUGCCACCUACACUGCAGCUCUAGGCAAUGCUGGAUUCUUAACCCACUGAGUGAGGCCAGGGAUGAAACCUGCAUCCUCAAGGAUACUAGUUGGAUUUGUUUCCUCUGAGUCACAGUGGGAACUCCAUCAAAUGCUGUUUUUAAUACUGUCAUUCUUCAAAGUGGGGUUUGCACAGUCCUGUGUCUUUUUAUGAUCUGUGUUAUGAAAACUCUGGAGCAGCCGUGGUCUCCUCUCUGGCCUUUGUUUCAGGGAGGAUAUCAAACGAGAUAGCAUGCGGUCCUGUGAUGGAACUUUCUGAAGGAUAUUUGUAAAUUUAGAUGGGGAAGGCACUUGUUAGUGACUGUCGUUGUGCUGGUUCCCUUUGUUUUCUUUUUUAAACCUUUUAUUAGGGAAAAUUCAAACAUAUACACAGGUGGACAGAAUAGGAUAAAGAACCUUAUGUAUUCAUCACUCAGCCCCAAACCAUCAACCUAUAUGGCAAUUUGCCCUUUUGCCCAUGAUGAAAUAUCCCCCAUAUUGCUUUUUAAAAAUUUUUAUUAUUAUUAUUAUUUUUGGCCGUUGUCUCCGGCACGUGAAAGUUCCCAGGCUAGGGGUCGAAUUGGAGCUGUAGCCACUGGCCUAUGCCAGAGCCACAGCAAUGUGGGAUCCGAGCCGCUUCUGCAACCUACACCACAGCUCACGGCAACGCUGGAUUGUCAACCCACUGAGCAAGGGCAGGGAUUGAACCCGCAACCUCAUGGUUCCUAGUCGGAUUCGUUAACCACUGCGCCAGACGGGAAUUCCUGAAGCUUGUUUUAUAGCUUAAUAUGUGGUCUAUCCUGGAGAGUGUUCUAUGUGCAUUGAGCAGAAAGGGUGUUUUGCUGCCAUUAGAUGGGUUUAUCUAUAGAUGUCUGUUGCCUUGUAGUGUUGUUCAAGUCUUCUGUUUUUUUGUUGAUCUUCUGCCUUGUUCUAUCCAUUACUGAAAGUGGGACCUUGCUGCCUCCAACUAUUGUUGAAUUGUUUAUUUUCCUCUUCAUUUCUGGCAGUUUGUGCUUCAUGUAUUUUGGGCUCUGUUAUUAGGUACAUAUAAGUUUAUAGUUGUUAUAUCUUCCUGAUGGAUCGGCCCUUUUGUCAGUAUAAAAUGGCCGUCUUUGGAGUUCCCGUUGUGACUCAGCAGUAACGAACCUGACCAGUAUCCAUGAGGACUCAGGUUUGAUCCCUGGCCUUGCUCAGUGGGUUAAGGAUCCAGUGUUGCCUUGAGCUGUGGUGUAGGUCACAGACUCGGCUUGGAUCUGGCAUUGCUGUGGCUGUGGUGUAGGCUGGCAGCUGCAGCUCCAAUUUGAGCCCUAGCUCAAAUAGUUCCUUCCAUAGGCCACAGGUGUGGCCCUAAAAAGCAAAAAAAAAAAAAAAAAAAAAAAAAAA